rnacentral:rRNA from 1 species
AACGAACGCUGGCGGCAUGCCUAACACAUGCAAGUCGAACGAGACCUUCGGGUCUAGUGGCGCACGGGUGCGUAACGCGUGGGAACCUGCCCUUAGGUUCGGAAUAACUCCCCGAAAGGGGUGCUAAUACCGGAUAAUGUCCUCCGACCAAAGAUUUAUCGCCUUUGGAUGGUCCCGCGUUGUAUUAGCUAGUUGGUAGGGUAAAAGCCUACCAAGGCGACGAUCCAUAGCUGGGCUGAGAGGAUGGGCAGCCACACUGGGACUGGGACACGGCCCAGAAUCCUACGGGAGGGAGCAGUGGGGAAUAUUGGAAAAUGGGCGAAAGCAUGAUCCAGCAAUGCCGCGUGAGUGAUGAAGGCCUUAGGGUUGGAAAGCUCGUUUACCCGGGAUGAUAAUGACAGUACCGGGAGAAUAAGCUCCGGCUAACUCCGUG